rnacentral:rRNA from 1 species
GACGAACGCUGGCGGCGUGCUUAACACAUGCAAGUCGAACGGAAAGGCCCUGCUUUUGUGGGGUGCUCGAGUGGCGAACGGGUGAGUAACACGUGAGUAACCUGCCCUUGACUUUGGGAUAACUUCAGGAAACUGGGGCUAAUACCGGAUAGGAGCUCCUGCUGCAUGGUGGGGGUUGGAAAGUUUCGGCGGUUGGGGAUGGACUCGCGGCUUAUCAGCUUGUUGGUGGGGUAGUGGCUUACCAAGGCUUUGACGGGUAGCCGGCCUGAGAGGGUGACCGGCCACAUUGGGACUGAGGUACGGCCCAGACUCCUACGGGAGGCAGCGGUGGGAAAUAUUGCACAAUGGGCGGAAGCCUGAUGCAGCAACGCCGCGUGCGGGAUGACGGCCUUCGGGUUGUAAACCGCUUUCGCCUGUGACGAAGCGUGAGUGACGGUAAUGGGUAAAGAAGCACCGGCUAACUACGUG